rnacentral:tRNA from 1 species
GUCUCUGUAGCGCAAUGCAUAGCGCGUUGGACUUCUAAUACAAAGGUUGUGGGUUCGAUUUUCACUUGGGAUG